UUCCAGACUCCUACGGGAGGCAGCAGUGGGGAAUAUUGCACAAUGGGGGAAACCCUGAUGCAGCGACGCCGCGUGAGCGAUGAAGUAUUUCGGUAUGUAAAGCUCUAUCAGCAGGGAAGAAGAUGACGGUACCUGACUAAGAAGCCCCGGCUAACUACGUGCCAGCAGCCGCGGUAAUACGUAGGGGGCAAGCGUUAUCCGGAUUUACUGGGUGUAAAGGGGGCGCAGACGGCGAUGCAAGCCAGGAGUGAAAGCCCGGGGCCCAACCCCGGGACUGCUCUUGGAACUGCGUGGCUGGAGUGCAGGAGGGGCAGGCGGAAUUCCUGGUGUAGCGGUGAAAUGCGUAGAUAUCAGGAGGAACACCGGUGGCGAAGGCGGCCUGCUGGACGAUAACUGACGGUGAGGCGCGAAAGCGUGGGGAGCAAACAGGAUUAGAUACCCCGGUA
rnacentral:rRNA from 1 species